rnacentral:rRNA from 1 species
AUACGUAGGGGGCUAGCGUUGUCCGGAUUUACUGGGCGUAAAGGGUGAGUAGGCGGUUACAUAUGUCAGAUGUAAAAGGCUAUGGCUUAACCAUAGUUGGCAUUUGAAACUGUAUUACUUGAGUGCAGGAGAGGUAAGUGGAAUUCCUAGUGUAGCGGUGAAAUGCGUAGAUAUUAGGAGGAACACCAGUGGCGAAGGCGACUUACUGGACUGUAACUGACGCUGAGUCACGAAAG